UACGUAGGGUGCGAGCGUUAAUCGGAAUUACUGGGCGUAAAGCGUGCGCAGGCGGUUUUGUAAGCCAGAUGUGAAAUCCCCGGGCUUAACCUGGGAAUGGCAUUUGGGACUGCAAGGCUUGAGUGCGGCAGAGGAGACUGGAAUUCCUGGUGUAGCAGGUGAAAUGCGUAGAUAUCAGGAGGAACACCGGUGGCGAAGGGCGGGUCUCUGGGCCGAUGACUGACGUGGAGGAGCGAAAGCAUGGGUAGGCGAACAGGA
rnacentral:rRNA from 1 species